UACGAGGGGGGCAAGCGUUGUUCGGAAUUAUUGGGCGUAAAGGGUGUGUAGGUGGCGCCGUAAGUCGGGUGUUGAAAUUUCGGAGCUUAACUCCGAAACUGCAUUCGAUACUGCGGUGCUUGAGGACUGGAGAGGAGACUGGAAUUCAUGGUGUAGCAGUGAAAUGCGUAGAGAUCAUGAGGAAGACCAGUGGCGAAGGCGGGUCUCUGGACAGUUCCUGACACUGAGACACGAAGGCCAGGGGAGCAAACGGG
rnacentral:rRNA from 1 species